GCCCGCCUUGUCCUGGGCAGGCCCCAGCCAGGUGUGAGUGCCCCAGCCCAACUCUCAGUGGUCUCCAUGCUGCAGCAGAGGAACACCGAACAACUGGAUGUUGUGAAUGUUUCUCACCUGGCCUUAAAAAAAGCAUGAAAGCUGAAAAUGCCAAGGCAUCUGUGCACAUGCCGGCGGAUUUUAAUGAGAGUCCUGUGCUUGGAGCACCAGAAAUAAACCAGCUUCACAAGCAAAGUAACAAAAGGCCUUAGAUGAUGACACUGGCCAUGUAGGUGGUAAGUGGAUGAUCCUGGGACACCUGUCCUGCACACUGUCCACCCUGACUCAGCUACUUCUGCAACUGUGCCUGAAUAACUGGAAAACUUCUAAGGGGAGAAGUGGCUGGGCCCUCCAGGGGGACAAUCCCUCCCUAACUCCAUGUGAUCUUGGUGGUGCUCUCUACCACGGUUCCAUCCUCGCUCCCACGGGGAUCAGGGGACGAGGAAGCCAACAGGGCCGGGCCAAUGAGAGUCCCCUGAUCAUAGUUCCUGGUUCAAAGAUGGCCACAUGCCUGAGCAGCUUUGAAACCACAAGGAUGUCAUUUCCUCCUCAGAACGAAGUUAACAGGUGGAAGAAGCAGAGCUAGAGAUGGAAUGAGACCCAGCCAGCCUGGGCUCCAGUGACAUCAGCCGGAUCUGAACGUCUGUGAUACUCUUUGGAGCUGACACAGUGAAGAACAUGGAAUAAGAACCAGGCCAAAGGCCUGGAAGGAGAACUCACCCAGUCUGCCAGGGUCACAGAUGAUCGUGCUCAAGAUGUUCCUGGGGAGUCAAUGGCAAAUUUCACUGUGCUGUUUUACAGAUGAAGGAGGAAUAUAAAGAAGGUUCCAGGACCUUGAAGUCCAUGGAACUCCCACGACUGCCUGAUCUCUGGAGCUUGUCAUUUGGCGAACAACAGGGAUAUGGGAACAGAAGGCAGGAGCCUGGCUCACUUGGGCAGUCAGCUUCUGCCUCUUUCCCUGCUGUCUCCAGGCACCAAGAAUGUCCUACAGUUCCCCCAAGAUGAACCCCCCAUUACCUUUCAGGUCACUCUGUUUCCCCUGAUCUUUGUCAAAUUCCUGACUCAGAGCUCCUCCCAUUGGCUUCUGACUCUCAUUUUAUUCUCAGUGUUAACCAUUUCUGUUCUCAUUCUCCCUUUUAUGAGUGCUGAGACCAGAGCGCGAGGCAACUGCUCAGUGCUGGUCAUCACUGACACUGUUAUUAAAUAACUUCAUAAGGGAA